AUGGGAUGUGAUUCUUCUUGUGUCCAGAUGAGUUCUGAUCCACCUCCUCCAUACCGAACUCAUUUCCCAGAAGGCGCCUCGGCCCCUGGCUUCACUCCAGCUCUCAGCUCUCAGCCUGCAGCCUUUGCCAGCUCUUCAUACCAGAUCUUCCCUCAGACUUACACCGGUGGAGACCAAUCCUUCUACCAGGGCUGUCCAGGGGCCUUUGUGAGCCAGCCUGGCUACCAGGGCUACCACAGUGGGGCUCCAGGAGCUGCCUAUCGCUGGGACGGGUCCAAGCCGUAUGCCGAGCCUCCCAAACACACAGUGUUCAUGAUGGGGCCACAGGACCAACACCAUGGCAUGAAAGACUCAUGUCUGAAGGUCUGUUCAGCCCUGCUGUGUUGCUGUUGCCUCUGGGACAUGUUCACCUCUCACCUGUGCUGCCCACUGACCUCUGACCUUCACUGAGUCCCCCAUCAAGAAGCUUGGACAACUGAUUUUCCACACAAUAUAAGUGUUUAUUUUGCCUGUUAACUCACUACUAACACUCAGACUCGUUACUGUCUCAUUAGCCUCUUUACAACACUCACCAAAGAUAAUUCUCAAAACCUUUCAAGUAAAAAAUCUGCUUCGAGACAGAAAAAGUAUGACUUUAGUUUCUGUGGAUUGACAAUUUAUUCUCCACUAAACAGAACUUAUUAAGACCUUUUAGAAAACCCAACAAAUCCCACUUACUGAUUUUUAGCCAAAAACAGUGAAGGUCAUUAAAAUAAAAUACAGGAAACUUCAAAGAAAGGAUUUAAA
rnacentral:lncRNA from 1 species